rnacentral:rRNA from 1 species
CUACGGGGGGCAGCAGUGGGGAAUAUUGGACAAUGGGCGCAAGCCUGAUCCAGCAAUACCGCGUGUGUGAAGAAGGCCUUCUUUUUUUAAAGCACUUUCAAUUGUGAAGAAAAGCGGAAGAUUAAUACUCUUCUGUCUUGACGUUAACUUUAGAAGAAGCACCGGCUAACUCUGUGCCAGCAGCCGCGGUAAUACAGAGGGUGCGAGCGUUAAUCGGAAUUACUGGGCGUAAAGCGUGCGUAGGCGGUUUAGUAAGUCAGAUGUGAAAGCCCUGGGCUCAACCUGGGAACUGCAUUUGAAACUGCUGAACUAGAGUGUGGUAGAGGGAAGUGGAAUUCCGGGUGUAGCGGUGAAAUGCGUAGAUAUCCGGAGGAACACCAGUGGCGAAGGCGACUUCCUGGACCAACACUGACGCUGAGGUACGAAAGCGUGGGUAGCAAACAGGAUUAGAUACCCCAGUAGUC